rfam:Spirochaetes bacterium GWF1_51_8 gwf1_scaffold_2062, whole genome shotgun sequence.
GGAGAGGUGCCAGAGCGGUCGAAUGGGCCUGACUCGAAAUCAGGUGUGCCCGAAAGGGUACCGGGGGUUCAAAUCCCCCCCUCUCCG